GUGAUUUCUCUUUGCAAGUUUGAUUUUACUCCAGUCAUGGAAUAAGAUAAAACCAAUCAACUUUAGCACAAAGAAAACCAUUUGACUGGUUGUUUUUUUGUUGUGUGUGUGUGUGUGUGUGUGUGUGUGUGUGUGUGUGUGUGUGUGCAUAUGCCUUACUUUAUAUAUGUGAAUAUAAAAAUGGAGCUGGCUUUCCUAUUCCCGCAUUAUUUUAGGCAUUUCUUUUUACAACACUGUAGACAGAUCAAGAGAAGAAAAUCAGAGUGUGGCUGGAAAUCUCCUUUAUUACAGAGGCUGUGAUGUGUAGAUACUUUUGCUUCCAUAAAUGGAUAUACAAGUGAGAAGAUCCAUUUAUUUACUUUAUUCUCUCACUAUAAUGGCUUUAAAUUCUUAACUCUGAUAGUGAAGUAAAAAAUUCAGACAUCUUCUUCUGGCAAAUGUCUGGUGAUAAGAAGAGGAAAGUACUCCUAAGAAGAAGUAAAUAGCAAUCCUAGGAAUGGUAAUGGGUCACCUUGAGCAAAGAUGUUUGCCCUUUAUUUCGAUCCCUCCACUUAAAGGGAAAAUGCUUGAAUCGAAUGUGCUACUUGAUAGCUUGUAAUUCACUGCACAAGUGUCCUUACGAGUUCUCAUAAGGAGUACUCAAAAACUAGGAUAACUACAAUGCAAAAGAAUGUUAAUAAAAUUAAAGCUGGGCAAAACUGCGCAUUGGGUUUGCUUGUACAGAAUACAUGGAGGUAAUUGCUUAAUAGAGGACUGGAGGCUGGAGACACAGAGCACAAACACAUUGGGCUUUCUUCAACUAUGGCCCCUGAAGGAAACGGGAGGAAUGGUCCUUUCUCCCAAGAAUGUGCUGAUAGUCAUAGACCACAUGAUGUUCCCAUAAGGUCUACAUGGAGCAGAAUGUACUUAUUUCACUGGUAAAAUGAGGCCAGAUUUAACUUGCACCCACAUUUCUCUGAGUAUCAUUUUACUCCAUCUGCAGUAGAUCAUCUAGUAAAAAAAAAUACUGUCUUCAAAAUUUGCUCUUAUCUUUUGAGUUUACACAAGCUGUCUUCUUAUCAGUUAAUAACUUAAAUAAAGAUUGCAUGCCCAGAAGAUAGUAGUAGGAAUAUUUAUUUAAUCUAAGAUCCUGACAUCAUGAAUGAUAUAUUUACAAAAUACACAGCUAAGGUCAAAGUCGUUGUGAUAUUUCAUUUUAUUGUUUAGAAAU